AUUGAACGCUGGCGGCAUGCCUUACACAUGCAAGUCGAACGGCAGCACGGGAGCAAUCCUGGUGGCGAGUGGCGAACGGGUGAGUAAUACAUCGGAACGUGCCCAAUCGUGGGGGAUAACUACGCGAAAGCGUAGCUAAUACCGCAUACGAUCUACGGAUGAAAGCAGGGGAUCGCAAGACCUUGCGCGAAUGGAGCGGC
rnacentral:rRNA from 1 species